AAACACUUGGGAAGUAAGGUUUAUAAUACAUUUCGGUUCAAGGUUUAGAUUGGUCAUAAAGCAUUCAAGGAAAUCUAAGUUCUUGAGCAUAAGGUUUUUGGAGUGUUCCAAGGUCCCAAAUCAGUUCUCAUAUCCCGAUUAUUUUGGUAA